rnacentral:lncRNA from 1 species
CAGACACUCUCACCUACUCUCACUUACACACACAAACACAUGCUCACCUUCUCUCACAUAUCAGAUACAUGCACCUACUGAUGUGUGAUCACACACAAACACUCAUUUUUGCUAACUUCAGUGGACUCCUACAGAGUGUGACACACAUGAAAUCUCUACUUGAUUUUAACUUGACAGUGUGCCACAUGUUCAUAACCAGCCCAUAAAACAUCCAUUGUCAAUCUGGAUAUAAAUAGAAAUAAAGCAUUAAGAAUGUUCUGCUCUCUUCACAGUGUAAGAAGAAACACACGCUGGUGUGUCCAGACUUCUCCAGUACUGGUGUGUGUCCACGUGGAUCCAAAUGCAAGUUGCACCACAGACAGAGCUUGAAACGCUCCGGCUCUAACGCAAGCUUUGAACCAGCCAAUAAAGCCUGUACUAGAGACAUUUUAAAGAGUUCGGAGGAUGUUCAGACUCUUCAGACAGAGUCCAUACAGGCAGAUGAGGGCCCGUCCAGCUCGUGUCCUGAGAAGCUGCCUUCCUUCAUCUCCUUGUCCACCUCUCCUGACAUGUCAGAGAACCCUGAUACCCCAAAGCUCCCUCCUACUGCAGGCCCACAGGCCAAAGGAAAGACACUACAUAUCAAGCCACGAUUCUUAUCUACAACCCAGACAGAAAGCUUGUCAAAGGAGGGCUGAUGGUGGGUGUUUUAAUCGGUAAUACACCAUAAAACAUUUUUUUAAACUUAAUUUUUACUUUAAAAAUGAGAAAUUCUCCUAAACUUGUUACAAAAUGGUUUACAAAGACAUCUUUACUUGAGACGUCCACAGCUACUUUUUGGUGUGAAGUCAUAUGUUUGGGUUCAGGAAAUGCAAUUCUAAGAAUUGAUUAAACAUUUCUCAGAAUAUGUUCAUAUUACAGAACUGAAUGUAUGCAUUAUAAUCAAAUACUGUUCUGAAAAACUGCAGACGUUCACAUUCUUGAAGUUAGUUUCAAAAUAUACGGUAAGUGUAAUUCUCAGGGAUUUUUAAAAUGGCAUUUCUGUAGUGGUUUGUUAUGCA